rnacentral:rRNA from 1 species
GACGAACGCUGGCGGCGUGCCUAAUACAUGCAAGUCGAACGCUUUUUCUUUCACCGGAGCUUGCUCCACCGAAAGAAAAAGAGUGGCGAACGGGUGAGUAACACGUGGGUAACCUGCCCAUCAGAAGGGGAUAACACUUGGAAACAGGUGCUAAUACCGUAUAACACUAUUUUCCGCAUGGAAGAAAGUUGAAAGGCGCUUUUGCGUCACUGAUGGAUGGACCCGCGGUGCAUUAGCUAGUUGGUGAGGUAACGGCUCACCAAGGCAACGAUGCAUAGCCGACCUGAGAGGGUGAUCGGCCACACUGGGACUGAGACACGGCCCAGACUCCUACGGGAGGCAGCAGUAGGGAAUCUUCGGCAAUGGACGAAAGUCUGACCGAGCAACGCCGCGUGAGUGAAGAAGGUUUUCGGAUCGUAAAACUCUGUUGUUAGAGAAGAACAAGGAUGAGAGUAGAACGUUCAUCCCUUGACGGUAUCUAACCAGAAAGCCACGGCUAACUACGUGCCAGCAGCCGCCGUAA